GAUGAACGCUGGCGGCGUGCCUAAUACAUGCAAGUCGAGCGAACAGACGAGGAGCUUGCUCCUCUGACGUUAGCGGCGGACGGGUGAGUAACACGUGGAUAACCUACCUAUAAGACUGGGAUAACUUCGGGAAACCGGAGCUAAUACCGGAUAAUAUAUUGAACCGCAUGGUUCAAUAGUUAAACACGGUUUUGCUGUCACUUAUAGAUGGAUCCGCGCCGCAUUAGCUAGUUGGUAAGGUAACGGCCUACCAAGGCAACGAUGCGUAGCCGACCUGAGAGGGUGAUCGGCCACACUGGAACUGAGACACGGUCCAGACUCCUACGGGAGGCAGCAGUAGGGAAUCUUGCGCAAUGGGCGAAAGCUUGACGGAGCAACGCCGCGUGAGUGAUGAAGGUCUUCGGAUCGUAAAACUCUGUUAUUAGGGAAGAACAAAUGUGUAAGUAAAUAUGCACGUCUUGACGGUACCUAAUCAGAAAGCCACGGCUAACUACGUG
rnacentral:rRNA from 1 species